CUCUCCCUCUCCCUCCCUCCCCCUGCUUCCCUCUCUCUUCCUCUCUCCUUCUCCCUCUCCCCCUCUCGUUCCAGUUUUCCUAUCGAUUCAUGUUGGAACGGCGUGGCAUGGGAGCGUAUCAUACCGUUCCGCUGGACUACUAGCAUGGGUGCCGGUUUUGGUAUUGCGGAUCUUGUGUAUGACAAUAGGAGAAUUAGAGUUUUAGAGAGGAGAGGAAGAUUGAGUGAGAGAGCGAUAGAGAGAGGAAGUAAGAUGACCGAACUUGGCUCAACCUGUCUAUUCAUUUUUUUAAAAGAAAUAACAUACAAGUCCUUUUCUAGACCCCUGUUAUAAACUCACAAGCUUAAUCAACAAGUUAAUGAAUUUAAUCCUCUUUGGACUCUUUACAAAGAUGACUAAUAAAUUUCUAAAACAUACAACUUAAUCCUCUUGAGACUCUUUACAAAGAUAGCUGAUAUAAAUUUGUAAAACAAACAACUUAUUGACCCCUAACAACUCAUGGGUACUGUAGCAUCACUGUUCACUCUAUAGUCAUGUAAACAGUAACCGACCCCUAAACUUAGCUAAAUUAACUCCUGGAUAUGGACUUAAAGAUCUUGUGAUAUGUUUUUGAGUGGGUAUUAUUAGACUUUAAAAAACUCUAAUGAUUUCGAUCUAAAGCCUACAAUUAAAGAACUUUAAAUCAGCAAAUUUCAGGCUAUCGAAUGUGAUGCAAUUAUGUCUCGCAUUAUUCACUUUAGCUAUGCGGCUCUUGUCCCCGAGUUCUUUCUCCAAAAGCUUGAUCCUCCAUCGAGCCUCUUUGAUUUGAUCAUGGGGGCUCACAUAAACUUCUCUUGCAAUAAGAUUAUUCAUUUAUUGUUUGAUGUCCAUUGUUUUACAAGAAACAUGGCAUGGAUCAUUCGUUUGAUGGCGAUCUUCAAGGAAUCAAGCAAAUCAGUAAGGAAUGGAUCUUCAUAUGGCUUGAUUUUGAUCUUUGAUUUUCAUUAUUUUGAUCUUUUGCCUUUGAGAAGUCUAACGGAUCAUCAACUAACGGAUUUUCAAUUAACAAGUCCUAGAUGGUGGUAUUGCUGCAUGAUGGAUCCUCAUAGACUCUUCACAUGAUAACUUCAAUCUUAGGCUCUUCACACAUUAGUUCUUUGGCUUUGUCAUAUUUAAGAUUCAUGAUUGGUAACUCGAUCUCAGGGAGCUUUUCAACACCUAAAGCCACUGCAAUUGCUUGCAAUUUAACCUGCAUCGACAUCACAUCAUUAUUGAUAGAUGCCAACUUGUUGUCCAUCUAGCAAAAGAUCUCAUAUUUGACCUGCUCAUUAAGAUCACCAAUUCUGAAACUCAAGUCCUCAUUCAUGAUUAUUAUAAAACAAAAAGAAAAUAAGAAGUAAAUAUAAAUAAGAUCAAGAAGAAGAAGGAAGAAAAGGUAGGAUUCUUUGGCUUUGAUACCAAAUUGAUGUAGGACAAGGAGAGAAUUAGAGUUAUAGGAGGGGGAAGAGCGAGUGAGAGCGAAGAGCACAAAGAAUGUCUUUUCUCCACUCUCUUUACAAACUUACAGAGUUGAUCCACAAGUUAAUGAAUUUUAAUCCUUUUGGGAUUGUUUAGAAAGAUAAAAACAAAUCCCUAAUAAAAUUUCCAAAACAAACUACCUACCGACCCUAACAUCUCACAGGUACUGUAGCAUCACUAUCUACACCUACGCUGGCAUGAAAAAUAACCAACUUCUUAACUUACCUAAAUUGACUGUUUCUUGACCUCCAAAAAUUAUGGGCUUAAAAAUCUUAUGGUACAACCUUGUUUGGGUAUUAUUGGACUUCAAAAAAAAACCCUAAUGAUUUCAAUCUAAAGCCUCCAAUUAAAGGAAUUUAAAUUAGCAAAAUUCAGUCUAUGGAUGUGAUACAAUUUAGUCCUGCAUCAAAUACUUCCAUGAAUUACUUGUUUACAAUCUUUAAUCAGGGUUAUAAUGUUAGGAUUUAUGAUUAAUUAGAGCGAACAUCGAUAGUUAGCUUUCCAAGUUACAAUGAAUGCAGGUCAAGUGUUUGGGAUUCGAUAACAGAGAAGUAUCAGAGGAAUACAGACAUCAGACAUUGACUGAGACUUUUUUAUAUAAAAAAAUUGUUGUAGCUGCAAGUUAAGACUUCUGAUUUAUUUGAUAAUCACAUGAAGUUUCAGAGAAAAUUCCUGUAGAAGCUGGGAAUAUUCCAAGUUUGAUGAGGGUACUAAAAAGGAACUAUAUUGCAUGCACCAUUGGUUCAAGCAAUUAAUAGAUUAACAGGAACUCACUACAUAUCUUACAAUUGCUUUUUCAUAUACAUUUCCAUCAAAUUGUAACAAAAUUGAGGAACUUGGAUAAAACUUGUAAAAUACUAUGAUGAUUUCAAGAAGUUUAUGUAGUAUAUGCCUUAGAAAAGAAUACGUGACGAUGUCUGAAUUAAAGUAUGAAUUUCUCUUUGUAAGAAGCUUAUAGGCACUUGAUCUUAAGAUAUGAGAGGAAAAGAUUAGUAGUCUAUGAGGACCAGAGUGAUGGUGGCAAUUUGCAGGUUCACUAGAAGAUAUCUUAAACUGGAGUGUGAUUGUAUCUUUCAUUGUGCUAUGCAUGUCUCAUAGGAAUAUGUUUCUCAUUUGGACUUAGUACAUUCUGUGUUUUGUAGAUUACACAAAUCCUCAGAGAAAACCAAACCUUGUCAUCUCUUCAUCAAUAACAUCUCAAAAUAUAGGGAAAUAUUAGUGGCUUACUCCAAGGUUGCAUGAAAUUAGACUGCAACAAACAAGGUAGCUCUGGGUACUCAUCCACGGGCCAGCUAGGUUUGACAGUAGGUCUCUUUCUUGUCUAAAAUUGCCUUUCCCAAGAUUUACCAUUGAUUCUUAGAAUCUUAAGGGAUUGAGCUUAGGUUGAUGGUUCGUUGUUAAAUUCUUUUCACUUUUUAAGAAGUUUUCUAGGCUUAGAAUAGUCAGAUCCAAUUUGAUAAUAAAAGGUUUGCAUGAUAAUGAUGAUUUGUCUCUGAUGCUAUUGAGAUGAACUUGUCUCGGGUGGAGUUUCUUUUAUAAUACAAACUCUAAUUGCUACACAUGCAAAAAGGGUCAUGAUCUAAACUUUGUAUUUUGAUGUUUCGUUAAAGUCAUCCCCUUUAAAUAAAUUUAUUACAUGAUGUCACAACUACAAUGUACGCUCAACUUUCAUUUUGAUUGUUUAUAUAGCUGCAUCAGUGUUUGGAGUUUUGUCAACUUUUAUGCUCUCUUUUUUCUCUCUAAUUUGUUAACUCUUAAGGGUGGUGUGUCAACUAAAUGUGAUGAGAUUCUAUCAAACUUAACCACCCCACCCCCAAACCCAACCUUUUUGUUUUCUCUCCCCAUAGUCAAUCAUAACGUAAAACAGGACACAUUCAUUCAUGUAAUGCAACUUCAAGCCUCACUUAUCACUGUGAACAUGUAAACAAAAUGCUCUCUCCUCUAAAGUUAUGGCGUCAGCCAUGCUUCACCGAGAGGGACAUAAAAUAUGCCUAUUUGUUUAUCCCAUCUCCAAUGUCUUGACAACCACCAUUUAUAAUAUAUACCAGAUUGAUAAUCCAAGAAAUGAAUCUUCUGCUCCUUCCAAAUCAUACUUUUUUCUCGAUGAUUACAUUAUUCGCUCAUUGCUUCUGUUCUGUUCCUCUGCCGAUGACAUUAAUAUCUAGUAUAUGAGCAGAUGGGACGCUUAGCUUGCAUUUGCUGGUCCAUUAUGAAUUCUUUUACUUAAAACCAAGUUUUUAAACCCUGGGGGAUGGCGGUGUCUCGGUUUGAACGUGGAAUGGAAUGUCCCACAUCCCGCCUCAUCUUGGCAGCCAUCCCGGUUGAGCACCAGUAUAGGUACUGCCCAUCCUUUAUUUUCCCCUUUCUUUCAUUUUCUUUCUUUCUUUCUUUCUUUUUCUUCUUUCUUUACUGUCUUCCUUAUUUCCUUCCUUUCUUUUUUUUCUUCUUUUGCCCUUCCUAUUUUUUCUUUCCUUACUUUCUUUCUCUUCUUCCUUCUCUUUUUUUCUUCUUCUUUCCUUCCUUUCUUUUAUUUUUCUUCUUCUUUCUUUGCUUUCUUCCUUGUUUCCAUCCUUUCCUUCACUUUUUCUUCUUUCCUUUUUUCUUUGUUCCUUCGUUCCUUUCUUUUUUUUCUUUUUCUUUCUUUCCUUUCUUCCUUUCUUCCUUUGUUGCUUUCUUCUUUCUCUCUUCCUCCCAGCCUUAGAGUGAUUUCACCCUGCAUAGGUGGGUUUUGGGGUCCUUCCCUGUCCCAAUUUCUGUUUUCUCAUAGGAACAAGACAGGAUGGUAGGGACACUCCCAAUCCCACUCGGGUUUAAAACCAGCCUUAAACUAUAUGAAGCAUAACAUUGAUCUUAUAAGAUGUUAUUGUGGGCUCAUCUUGAAGGUCUUCACAGCUUUUCCAUGUGAUAAAGGAGACAAUAAUGUCCAACCUUUUUUUAUAGCUUAGUCACUACUUUAUUCUUCAACAGGUGCCACUAUGUAGGUUUUGGGAUGAGAUGUGCCUGGUUGACAGUGUGACCAGCUAUCUUGUUUUGGGCCUAGUAUUUGGUGGCUGGAUGCCAUGUGAUUAUUGACUUAUUGUCAUGAUGUUGAAAGACUACUUUAACUUUUACUAGCUUCGCUGGUGGCAUGCGAUGAUGGAGAGCACACGUGUAUGUCAAUUUGCUAGUUGAAUCUUUUAUAGAAUAAUUUUAGUCUUAUUUUAUAAUCUUCAUGUGAGUCAAACUACAGUGUGUUCAAAUUCUUAUAAUUAAUUUGUAAAUCUCUCCUGGUUAUGGUCUGUGGCCUAUCAAGUGUUUGUUUUCGCAUUUGCACUUAAGUUGCAUAGGUGAAAUGGGAGCAACAAAUGUCUUUGAAUAUAUAAAUGAUCCUUAUUUAUUUACAUGCAUGGUAUAUGCCAGAUUUUGUGAUAUUUGGCUGUUAUAUAGCUUGUUGAUUGUGGAGUUAUCUUGACGAUCAACACUGUUCUAUUAAUCUUGAACCACCAUUCUGUCUAAUGUUGUAUGAUUGACUGCUAUUUCAGAGACAUUUUAAUGCAUGCACUUGAUUCCCCUGGUAUCAGAAAUCUUUGGAAUUGAUUGCUGCUGAGUUGUCUUGAUGCAGAAAGUACCCAUUUGAAUCCUGGAUUUCUGCCUUUUUUCAUAACAUAUUUGGACUCCCAAACAUAAUGCCUUUGUGAUGUCUCUACAUUAUAGUGAUGGACUAAGAUAGGAAAUGAAAUGAUGCUGAAGUUGGACAAAUUAAUAGGAGAAGGUGACUCCAAAUCCCAUAAUUUUUGGGAAAUUAGAAAUCACCCUUUAAAUUGUUUUUGGCAUUUUGAAAUUACAGGGACGGUGGAUUUAGAUUCCUUCAUUUCAUCACUUUGUUAGUAUUCUCAACCUAUCAACUCAGACAUGUGAUGGGAGAUAUUGCGGAUUUAAGAUAAUCAAGCAUCCAUAAAGGGGCUUAGUUACAUUAGUCGUGGAGUACUAUGUCAGCCACCUUGAUAUUUGAUAGUUUCCAAUUUGCCUUUUUCAAGAUAUCCUGUUAAAGAAGGAAUCACCAUUCAAUCCUUUUCUGUAUGACCCACUAUUUUUCCACUACCUUCUGUUUAGUACCUCCUUAACUUUCUUCUACUUCAUAAUCAUUUGAAGUUGCCCUGACUGGAAGCAAUUUAGUCAGAAAUAGGGAGCACUAUCAUGUUUUUUCAGGCAUGGUAAAUGAGUUAUGUCUGGUACAGAUAUCUGCUUAACUUUUCUUAAUGGUUAAGAGAUAAUUUGUUGCUUCCCUAGUAAGGAGUGAUGCUAUAGAGUAGUGAAUUUUUGGUAAUUUAUCUAGGGCGAACUUCCUGUUUCUUUGUGACUUGCUGUUUGUUCAUCAUGCAUUUCGGAUGAAAUUGAGGAAGGAAAUGUUUGGGCUCUAAGAUGGUUGAAUACCUUUUUGGUAACUUGUUCUUGAAGUCUAUUGUUCUUUUUUUAUUGAUCGCUUCACCUUUGUUAGUGCUGUAUGAUUGAUAAAGUUGUUCUACUGGUAGAAAUGGUCUCGGCAAUAUGAUUUUGUUUCAUCAUCGUCAUUGUUCUCUUUUAGUAGUUGAAAUUUUGCAUGGGCAGAUUGAAAUCUGAAAAAAACCAACAGAACUAUCAGCUUCAUUAAAUUAUUAAGGUGCUGGUCAGAGUGAUGAUCUGGAGAUUUAACAUUACAGGUGUUUGGUGAUUAUGGGAACUAUCAUGGUCACUAUUCUAGAGUUCACUCCUACUCGACACCCCCUGCCCCUAAUUGCUCAAUUCAGUCGGCCAAGUUUAUUAUUCUUUGGAUUAUAAUUCUAGAAAACUUCUUUGAUUUUUGCAGACCCUUAUGUUGAUAUGAUCAUGGUUGAUGGUAUAUCUCUUCUUUGCAAUGACUUGCAGGUGAGUUUUUUGUUGGUUGUAUUUUCUUGUGUUCUCAUUUUAUGUCCUUUUCUUACCAUGUUUUCACUUUCUGCACCAAUUUAUUUAUACCUUUGUCAAUUGUUUUACGUUUUCUAAAUAUUGUACAAGUUUUGGUUAUAUAGUAAUUCUUGGUUCCCUCUUCCCACCCUGAAAAUCUUAACAAAGCAAUACCAAAAUGAUGAGCUUUUUUUAUGGGAUAAAUGCCCACAAGUUUGAUAUUUUGUUUGAGAUAUUUUGAUGAAUUUUAUGAAUACAAAGCAAGUACGCAGAACAAUAAUCAUAACUCACCAGUNNNNNNNNNNNNNNNNNNNNNNNNNNNNNNNNNNNNNNNNNNNNNNNNNGAGAGAGAGAGAGAGAGUAUUAAAAAUGUUAUUGCUUGGUACAAGAAAGAGUAUCUUCUAUAUGAAGAAAGUAGAAAAAUAGGGAAAGAACAGAUAAGGAAAUCUGCAAGAAUAGAAUUGUAUACCCAGAUGGAUAUUUCUUUUUUUGAGGACUCUCCCUUUUAGUUUUCUUCUUUAGUCAAAAUAGAGCAUUUGAAACCAGCAACAUGUUCAGAAUUUGCUGUUAGAAAACAGGAAGUUUGAAUUAGAAAUUGAAUGCAUGAUUGUAGAUUUAUGCAUUGCUCCUUUGGAAGACCUCUUAUUGUAAAUGGAUCUUAUCUAUGUAUGUAAAGGAAAUUUGAGUGGAUUUCUGAUUGGGAGUGCCGAGAUGCUUGUGGAUAAUAUUUGUGGUUUCCACUUGUUUUUUUAGAGGAGAAUGCUACUGCAAAGUGCAAAAGCCAAAGAAAAAAAUAGUCCUGAACAUAGUCGGUGGAACCGUCUAGAAUCGGGUGGUUCGAGGAGUACUGAGCCGUAUUGGCAAUGGACUGGGAUGGUUCUGGCAACCGAAAUGAAAAGCUGUCGGAGGGAGAGAAGGAGAAGGAAAGAGAGGAGCGGGGGCAAAUCACUCUCUUCCAAGGCCGCAAAUACCACUUUGGCAAAUCACUUACAUGCCCACCGCAAAUCCUUUGAAUCCACCACAAGGGAGGAGAGAAUAGAGAGAAGGCAAGAACAAUUCCCACAAAAGAAUUCUCACUAAUCAAUAACUCAAGGAUCUUAAGUAUUUCUAGUGUGAUUAUAAAAGGAGCCUCAGUGGGGUUUUAUAAGCAGCACAAAGGGGCUUUUUUCAAGUCUUCUUCUAACUCGAAGAAUCCUGACAACUAACUUUCCUAAUAACAUCAAAAGUUAUCAAAGAGAAAGUUUACAAAAAUCAAACUAUGUACAAUUAACUAACAUCAAACCUUUCUAAGUGAGAUAGAAAAAUAACUAAUCAUCAAAAUCUAGUUGACUCAUACGUACUAGACUUGGGACCAUGUAGCCAGGAUCUGUGUUUCGUGCAUCCAAAACUCGUGACCCAUGCGGUCGGGAUGUGUCUUAGGUGCUUCGACGUCAAGUACCUUUGAGCCUCUUGCUUUGGCAUCUAGCAUUUCUACACACACUGUAGUUCCUAAGGUGCCACAUUUCCCUGAGCAGAGAGAUGAGAUUGAGACAAUUUUGAAUGAUGAGGUUGUUACUUCUUUUGAUGGUGGCUUCAUUAUCUUUUCCAACGGAAAGGCCGUCCUUCAUCUGAUGCUUCUUUGGUUACAGAGGAUAAGUUUUGUGCCUUAGAUCCUGAGCUUCUCCAGUGGUACUUGCAGUCAACUAAUCCAGAAUCAAGUUUUUUCCAAAUGGGGAGUGUGAUGGAGGACCGUCCAUUCAAAAGGAAUGCACUUAUGUUAUGCAUAAAUAUAGAAAUUGGAGAAUUUUUAUUUUUUAGGGAUCCUAGAAUUUAAUUUUCAUGUGGACUUCAGGGAUUAUCUUAUUAGGAUUUUGGGAUGUUUUUAUAAACCCACUACUAUGUUAAUUGAGAGCACGGUUUGCAUUAUUGAGAAUACAGAUUUUCAAGUUGCUCUUCUCUCCCGCCCUCUCCUCUUCUUCUUCUUCUUCUUCUUCCUCUCUCUCUAUCUCUUUCUUCUAUCCUACAUUUGAACCUCUAGGUUAUGUCAUGGUUUCUGUCUUCUCCAUGGUUUAUCUUAAAUUUGCAUUACUUUGUUAAUUCUUUCUCCUCCGUGUUCCCCGUACAAUGCAUAUGAACUGUAGGUUAAAACUUUUGCCUGACAUCAAGUUAGCUGUGGGUGUAAAUUAGCUGGAUGGGCAUGUAAAAUUACAUUUGGUAAUGAAGACAAAUAUUGGUGCAUCCCUCCAAGACAUAGCAGAAUGACAGUAAACUAUGUUUGGAGAUGUUUCCAAGUCAACACAGCUUCCUUUUUGCAGGAAAAGAAAAAUCAGAUUUUUUGAAAUCUCAGUAUAAUUUAAUACUGUGAAGCAAGGUCUGCUGAACCGGUCGGUUGGGAAGAAGAAGAGAAGGGAAAAAAAAGAAGAAAAAGAGAGGCCGCAGGGAGCGCGCCCGCACACAGGGGCGCGGGCACGAGUGGGGAAACACGUCCCCGACUCGUGCCCGUGCGUGUUCCAUGCGGUGGGAAUCGCGCGUCCACGUGCGGGGCAGCGAGCCCACGUGUUGCCCCGUGUGGGCUUUUCAUGCCACUCCGUAGCAUAACGCGUCCGCCAUGGUCUGCCGUACCGAUCGGUACGGGUCGGUACCGGCCGGUACAUACCGGUACCGGAUCCUACCGGUAUGGUACAGCUACAUAUUUCGGUACCGAACCGUACCGACGGAUACCGAUGCGUACCGACCUGUACCGACCAGUCCGUACCGGCUCCAAAUUUUUUUUGGCUUUUAGCCCCAUCGGUACAGUACCGGUUCGGCUCGGUUUGGUUUGGUACCGUACCGGUACCGAUGCCUACCGGUACGUCGGUACAGUCGGUACCGCGUACCUUAGCGUCCGCGCAUUUUUUUCUUUUUUUUUGAGCCGGUAUCGGUCUCCACCGGUAUGUCGGUUCGGUCGGUUCCACGUACCUUGCUAUGAAGUCUAGUGGAUGAGCCUAUUCACCUUUUGUGAAGAAAAUUGUAGUUGUUAUCUUGAUGUUCAUGUUCUUAAUAGAUGAAAGAUCAUUCUUUGUAUGCAUGCACACACACAAUGUCCCGAGUGCACGCACCUAGAAAGCUAGAUAAUGGAGGUGCCAAAUUUCUAGUUAUGUUGAUAGAUUUCUAAUGUUAUCUUGGUUAGUUUGUAAUCAUUACAUUUGGUGAUCAUCAAGGUUCACUGGAUAGAUACCAAAGGUCAUAUUGGCUAGUGACCAGUUUUGUAUGGUAUGGAUCUGUACUGUGCCAUUCCGGGGCGUGUAUCGAAGCAGAGAGAGCUAGAGAGGGAGUGGGAGAGGGAUAAGGAGAGAGAGGAAGAGAGGAGGGAGAGGGAGAGGGAAGGAANNNNNNNNNNNNNNNNNNNNNNNNNNNNNNNNNNNNNNNNNNNNNNNNGGGGAUGGGGGAGAGAGAGACUUACCUGGUUGGGGAUCUUGUCGUCGUCGUCAUCGAACCAGUAAGGGAUGGACGGCUUCGGGGAUUAGGGUUUUGAAAUGGGGGAGAGACAAUACGAAUGGGGUGGGUCGAGCUUUAUAUUCCCAACCAAAAGCUGGAAUCAUGCUGGUAACCGACUGAUCCGGUUCGGUACAUCUAGAACCAGUCGAUUUGGCCUGGUUUGGCUAACCUUAGUGACUAUAAUUGCAAGAGCUAUUGUACAUGUGCUAUUAGUUGGAAUACUCCUGGUUCCACCUUCUAGCUGAAUAUGACAAAGUGAAACCAUCAAGACAAACUAUGUGAAGCAAUAUUUCACUUUACCUCUAGUUAGAUAUUUGUGAACCAAAAAACUCACUAAGGUACAGAAUUUGAUGUUAUAACAGUUCGGUAUUUAUGUAUUAAUCUCACUUACCUCUAGUAGUUAAAUAUUUGUGAACCAAAUAACUCACUAAGGUACAGAAUAUCAUGAUAUAACCAAUGCACCAUGUAUGCAUAUUUGAUUUCUUGAAGCCUACUGUUAGAAGUUCUAUGUAUUUAUUUCAUUCCUUUUUAUAAAUUCCUCCUAUAUCUAGUGACAUACUGUUCUUUUCAUUUGGCUCUUGCAGGUGGAUCCUCAAGAUAUUGUUAUGGUGCGUACAUUUCUAGUACCAGUAACACCUUUCUUUGAGUAAAUUAUGCUAUUCUUAGACGAGAUUAUAAAUGAUUUUUAUAUUGGACUCCUUUACCUUUACAUUAAUGUGGUAAUGUUUCGAGGCAUAUUAAAUUUCUAAAGGAAUUCUUUAUAACCAUGAAUGGGUAUUCGGAUUUUAAGUAGGAUCUGGAAGUUUUGCUAUGCAGUUGUCUAACGGAAUAAGAGGAUUGAAUAUGAGGAUUAAGUUUUGGCCUUGCUUAGAGAGUUAUUUUAUAUGCGAAAGAUGAUUGCAAUUUGCUAUUUAUAAUUGUCCUGUGUACAUGCAUAAGUCUGUAGGAACUUUGAAGGUUUUCUCCCUGGUUGUAUUUGUCUAGACUGGGUUAUUCAGUAAAGUAGCUUUGCUCUGCCAAUCAGUUUUCCAAGUUUCAUGGCAGGUCCUUCUCUUUCCCAAAGUUGCCUUCGUUGGGAACUUGGGAACAAUUCAAAAAUGAUCGGCAUCAGAAGUAGUGUUCUUCAUGUAACCUUUUUUAAAUCAAUCUCAGAUUGGAUUUUAAUUCAUGAAGCUAAUCACCUGCAUGUGACUAAGCUUGACAGUUGAAGUAGAUUUUAGCUUGACAAUGGGAUAAGUUGUGUUCAAUCAGGUAUUGCUGAUGCGAAAUAAUAAUAAUUAAUUACUAACCUAAUAUACAUGGAAGCUUCUUCUGGACAGCAAACUUUGCCAAUGUGUGAAGGUUGCAGUUCACAUAAUAUUUGCUUUAAAAUUUUACGGGAGUCACCUUGACAUUACCUGCUGCAAAGGUGCUGCAUGACUUGGGUUUCUGUGUUUGCAACAGUUGGUUGUAUCUUGGCAUAUGAAGGCUGCUACAAUGUGUGAGUUCUCUCGGCAGGAGUUUAUAAGUGGAUUACAAUCACUUGGGUGAGAUUUUACUCUUUGCUGAUAGAUUUUUCCCCCACUUUUUAUAUUCAAAUGAUUUUUUUUAUUAAAGCGAUAAAGGAUACAGCUAAAAUUGAAUCAUUUUUUUUGCAGGGUAGAUUCAAUUGAAAAAUUUCGCGAAAAAUUACCAUCACUGCAUGCUGAGCUUAAAGAUGAAAGUAUGCGUUUCUAUAUCACUGGGAAGUGAUCCAGUAUUUACUUCAUUGAAAUGUGCUUAAAUGUUAGUUAAAAUUUAAAAAUAGAAAAAGAAACCAUAUAGUACAUGUUGAUGAAAAUGUGUUUUUGGCACGUGUUGAAUCUUUUCCAUAUUUAAGAUAGCUUUAUGUUGCAAAAUGAAUUACUUAGGUGGAAAAGUAUUUUUUCAUCAAACUGAUGUUUGCUUUGUUCUCUGUCAUCCAGAUAAAUUUCGUGAGAUCUACAACUUUGCAUUUGGUUGGGCAAAAGAUCAGGUAUGAAUUAGUUUCUUUCCAUUAUAAUCUGUUUUGCCUCUGUAAGGUCCUUGAUCAACCUUGUUUCUGCCACCUACUGAUGCAGUUAAAGUUCACUAAAUGACUAAUGAUUUUAUGUCAUUUCUGUCUUGAUCAUAUUUUUGGUGGCUCUUAAUUUUUUGGGGGGAAAACUCGAAAUUAAUCUCAUAUCUAAUUGGGGAAAUGUAGUGCUCCUUAAUAAGUUAGAACUGUAAUUCAAUCACUUAGUAAGAGGUAAUAAAUUUUACAUAUGAAGUACAGAACAAACUGUGACGAGUCACAAAUGAUGGCAUCAACUGAAGUGAAGAAUUUCCAUUGCUUAACUUCCUCCGUUAAUCUUGACCCUAGUUUCUGAUUUCACCAUCAUUUUUUACUGGAAAUAUUGUUGGUGUUGUGAUAUUUGCAGGGUCAAAAAUCUCUGGCUUUGGAUACGGCGAUUGGCAUGUGGCAGUUACUGUUUGCUGAAAAGCAUUGGCCCUUGGUUGACCAUUGGUGCCAGUUCUUACAAGUAGUACUUUUACCUUUUCUAUUUAAUAAUUUUUGCUUCAUGCUUUCUUUAAUCAAAUUUCUGUUGCGGCAACAAAAUUUAAUUGCAUCACAUUUCUGCCUUAUAUUUAAGUUGUAAUAACUUACCUAUUUUGAUAUAUGACUUUUUUACUUGAUUUAGUACUUAUUUCUUGGGUUGGUUCCAUGUAGAUUGCAUUUAUCUGUCUGAUGCUGCUGCAUGCUUUUGCUGCACUUUCCUUUGCACUUGAUCUUUCUGGAUGCAUUUUUACUUUCUUCAUCUAAUUCUUUAUGGCAACUUAUUUGAUUUUUACUUUCUGAUUAAGGUGAGGCAUAAUAAGGCAAUCUCAAGGGACACUUGGUCCCAGCUAUUGGAAUUUGCUAAGGUACAUGCGAAAUAUUUGUUGCAUAUUAUUGUUUCCAGUCUGUUAUUAAAUUGUAUUUCUGUAAACUCAAGGGCAAUCCAUGCAGAUAGAAACUCUAGGAUAUUCUGGGUUUGUUACUGUAGCUAAACUUUAUAGGCAAAGAGAAGAGUCAUAUCUAAUUGUAUUCUUUUUCAUAAACUUACGUGUUGGUACCUGACACAUAAUAUGACAAUAGUUGUCAUCAACUUCACAUUCAUAUGUAGUUUAUGAUUGAUAUGGAUAUGCCUGUAGGUGUUUAACAAAUGAAUGCAAUAUAUUUUGUUUAAUAUAUUUAUUGGUUGUAAAAAUUCUGAAUAAUUUUCAGAAACUGCUAAAACUGUAAUGGAACUGCUAAAACUGGAAACUUAGAUCAAAACUGAAACCAAAAGUAAGCCUUUGAACCUAGUUGCAUGUGUAUAAAGCAUGUAAAAUAUUUUUAUUUAUUCAUGUGCACAUACAUGAUUUUCUUGUUCUGUUUUCAAUUUUAUGUGCUGGUUGGACUUGCAUCUAAGAUUAAGUUUAUGUAUUGUUUUUUCUUAUUUUAUUUUGCUAAUUUUAUUACAUUUGAUUUUUAUCCCCUUUUAGAAUCAUGUUCUAUAACAAGAUCUAUAUUCCUUGUAAUUUAUCUCAUUUCAAAUGAAAGAAUGCAGUAGCAUGCUCACAAAAGGGAGCUUUUCUACCCUGUAACCUGAAAAAUCUUCUGCUUGCUUGGGCACUUGAGCAUAUAUAUAAUUUUUUAAUUUCUUUCUUGUUCUAUGCAGACAAUCGAUCCUCAGUUAUCCAACUAUGAUGCAGAGGGUGCAUGGCCCUACCUAAUUGAUGAAUUCGUGGAGUACUUGUUCGAGAAUGGGAUUGUCCAGCGUAAAAAUUGAAAGGAAGUUGGAAGAUGAAUUGUGGCAUAGACAAUUAGCACACAAGCGUACAUCACUAUCAAUUUCUUUUCAGUAUUUGAAUUUUUUUACACCCACGGUAUGGCACUAGUUGCUCUUGAAUUCAAUCAGUUGCUCCAUUAGAGAAUCUUUAGCAUGGUGAUGGAAGAAAUGUUCUACUCUUCUGGCUGGCCAGUGAAUAUCCAAAUGGUAUUAGUGAUUCAUUGAUGUCUUGGUUAUCAUAUGGUUGAGUUUUAAUACUAUUUGGUAACUUUUUGGUGCAAGCUGCCUGUGAUUGGUUUUUAUGUAACGGAUGGUAACAUUUGCACAAUUGGGAUGAAAAAUAAGAGCUGUUGAUUUUAGAGAUGUUAACCUUCCAUAUCAAAAUCUCUCAUCGGGUGUCUGACUACCUCAUGCAUCAGUAAUCUGCCGUAUGGGAAUCAGUUGACAUGGGCUGAACCUUUUGUUCCCACUCGCGAUUUCUGGAAUAUUAGAACUAAAGACUUUGUUUUGGACAUUGGAAGAUCUUGGAUGGGGUCUAUUGCCCGAGGUUCCCCUCCUUGUUGGUUUAUUCUCACUUGGAGAAUUGAAAGGGGAAUAUACAUGGAUGAGCCUACAUAUCACUUGUACUGCAUUAUUUAUGUUUUUAUGUUUUAUACAUUGUAAUGUAGUAUUGUGUUAUAUUAUAUUUUUGGGAUUAGGAGAGAUUAAUUUUCAUAUUCUGUUCUAUGUCCACCCCACCCCCGGGGUUGAAGCUGAAGUCAGAGCAUCUCAUUUUAUAGGGCACUUGAGUAUGGCGCUCCUAAGGUGGAAGAAAUCUUACAUUUUAAUAGUUUUAUUUUGAUGGUCCAAAUUAGAAAAAUUGGCAGCCUGUUAAUUGGUAAUUAUUCUUAUAAUGCCUGCUUCCCACCAACAUUGAUCUGGGAGAGAGGAGGAGUGGCAUUGCCUUUAUUUGAUGGUAACGGUUGCUGCUAGAAUUUGAGGUUGGUUUCAGCCCGAGGUACCGACCUACGAAGGUGAAAGGCAGGUCGGCCAAGAGUGAUGAGAAUUCUCCGCUGCAAAUUCGAAAGGCCAACAAGACCUGCAAAAAAAUCUAUUUGCCGGAAGGUGGUGGGGACCCUAAUGAGAAUAAAAGGGUGCUUGAGAGAGAGUACUCAAGCGUGAUAGAACAUCGGUUUGUACUGAAGUUACUUACAUUGGCUAAGACUGAGGUCAAGAAGAUCGGGAUAGUUUAGGUUAGGAUGACCAAUAAUUAUAUUUUGGUAGUGAAGUAAUUAAAUUCUCUACAAGAGGUGCUUAUAGCUAAAAGAUUAGAAAUCACUAUUGGAGUUUAUAUUUUUUGAAUCGAAGAAGGUCGAAAUAAUGUCAAGUGGUAUCCAAUUAUUGGCUAAAAAAGAGAGCUAUGAUUCUUAUCCUUUUUCCCUUUUUGAUGAUUUUUGAGAGGAAUUUAGGCAUUGUUUUGGGUACUUCUAUUUGAGAAUGUAGAGAUGUCCAAAAAUUAUGAACUUUUAAAUGUCACAUCUAGGUCACACGCAAAGGCCAUGAUUCAAUUUUUAAUAUCUAAUUGCUCAUUUGAUAAGAGUUUCAAAAAAUGUUAAAUUUGGGUUCAAAAGUGAGCCGUGCUAAAUCCAAUUGACUUGCAUGCAUAAAAUUUGAUCAAUUUGAGCAUGGGGAAGUCUAAUUUGAGCAGGUUAAUGAAUCAGGCUCAGAUGAACCGGAGUUAGCCCAUUUAAAUUAAUUGAUAGAAUUAGUCAGAAUCUUGCUCAAUUGAGCCUAUAUAAUUGGUCAUUGAUGGAAUUAGGUAGAAUGGAGAAUAAAAGUUAGAUUCAAAAUGGUUUGGGGUUUUAGAAUUAGAUUGUAUGGGUGAAUUAAAGUUUGGAAUUUAGAAAAAUGGGUCAAUUGGUAGAAUGAAUAUAAUUGCACUUUAUAAAAUUCACAAUCGAAUCAACGGGGGAUAGAGUAAAGUGAGAUUUGAUUAAGCUAGGGUUUAUUGAAGUAAGAGAAGGGGGUUAGUAGGAUGAAAAUCCAUUAAAACCAAGGAACUUUCGAUUAGGAGCAAGAUCUUAAAUUUUUAGGCCUCAGAAGGAUGCCCAAGGGUGUUGAAAGUAACAAAACCAGUUACUCCAAAAGGAACCCAUCAAAACCUAACAAUCCAAACUACAUUUCUGUCAAUUCAUGGCGAUGCUAAAUUUUUGAAAUAAAAUUUAAAAAUCUUCAACAUCCCCGUGUAUUUCCUAAUUUCAUUUCCAAGGACCUAAAUGAUUUUCAAGGCUAGAAAGGAUCAUCUCUAGCCCCUCAAAAAAGGCCUUGCAACACUUGAAAUCAAUAAGGUUCCUAGGUCCACAUUAAAUUGGCCAAUGAUAAUGGAUUUUUGAUACUUAUUUCUACAAAAUAAUAUGNNNNNNNNNNNNNNNNNNNNNNNNNNNNNNNNNNNNNNNNNNNNNNNNNNNNAGUUUAAAAAUAGUAAAUCAUAUCCAAUAAUUCAGAUCAUUAAUGUAGGAUCCCAUUUUUUGAUUGAGACAUGAUGGAGUGGACAUCCACUCAAAAGUUACUCCGGGAUCCUGCUUCCUCGUCACACCACUUUGGAGUGACUUCAGUUUCCAGCGGUUCAAGCAGAAACAGGUCAAAAGCGAAGGAAACGGGAUUCAGUGUAAAAGUGGCUCUAGCCCCUCUCGACAGCACAAAUAGACCAUAGUCACUCUGCCCAACCAACCAGGCUCCAAGCCUAAACAAUAAAAUUUUAACAAAAUUCAAAAAAAUCCGCCCAAAAUAACCUAAACUAUUAACUUGGACGGCCAAGCUGAAAAAUCAAAUGAAAUCCCGUAACCAUGAAGGCAUGACUGAUGAAAACGUGAUUGUAUUGAAAACAGUGAAUCCGAAUGGUCUUUUACUGAGAACAGAGACACAGAUUAACUUGAAAACUGCAAUCAAUCUCUUAACUCUAAUGCAAUUAUGCAAGUUGCAGUUUGCCUUGAAGUCUAGUCUAACCUGCCAACAACUGAAAUACGCAACGGUGCAAGUUGGGCUUUGAGGUCCUACAUAAAGAUGCAAGAUACCAAUGUCAACCAACCGAGAUUAAUUACAGGUUCUACACACCUCAGAGAACACAUGGAAGCAAUAAACAAUCUAUUACUAGAAUUCAAAGGAAAGAAGCAUUUAGCACCAAAAUUUUAUUCUACAGAUUAGGAUAUUAAAAUGAUUAAAAAAAUACAGUUUCAAGAUGUUCAACAUUAACUGUAAGCCAGAAAAUUAUUCUUUUGGAAUUCAGAUGGUAAACAUUCUUAUGAAGAAGCUUGAAUUAUUUGUAUAUGAGGGCAUCGCGACCUGGUCCAACACCAAUGUAAUGAAUGGGUACACCAACAAGCUCUUCUAUCCUCUCCACAUACUGACGAGCAGCUUGGGGGAGGUCCUUGUAGUUUCUGAUAGAAGAGAUGUCACUGUGCCAACCAGGCAGCACUUCAUAGUCAACCUUGAACACACGAAACAACAGGUAUAUCAGAAUCUAGAAGUGCAAAGAGGAGUUUAAAAAAAAAAAUCAGCCACCAAUCUCAAUCAGGCACCAAUUUGUGAGACUUGCAUCCAAUCCUAAUCCAUCCUAGCUGCAUUUGGAUAAGCAAAUGUGCAUAAUCUUUUUAUCUCAAGGGUCAACAAAUUGAGAGAAUCUUGGAAGCAUGGGUAGUUACUAGUUCAUCAACUUACAUGCUCUUAUGAUAUGUUGAUAUCCAAAACUACAGCUCUAAAAUAUGCUAAAAGUAGUUUAAGAAAGUGGUAUAAUAAGGAAAAAAUCUAAAUCAAAUACAAAAGCACAUGUUAGAGAAAGAGAUAAAUAGGGCUAAAAGAAAAGGAAGAAGAAGCAGGCCCACAAAUAUUAAAGUCGAAAAAGAAAAGCACCAGAGAGUUGAAAUCUUUACAGAUAUCUAAAGGGGUUUUCUCCUUAUAACAUUUUUUUAAAAAAAGCUUUCAGGUAGCAACUGUUUAGAUGGAAAUCUUGUAUACAGGAGGAUCGAGGAGUUUCAUCCAAAUAAAUUUUUCCAUGCAGUGAUCCAACCGUAGCUCUGUAAGUUAACUUCGUAAUUUGGGAUAAAAUAUAACCCAUAAUACCAGUAGAAAUAGAAAAUAGAACAGGAAUUUGUUUUCAUGAAAGAAAAUCCAUCACCUAUAUACAGGAACGAAACGUUUAAGAUAAAUUCCAAAUUACACAGAACAGUUUUAACAGAAAACUCUUAUAUUUAUCACAAACUUACCUGUAUUUGCUCCAGAACUUGAAGAUCUGCAGGGAAUGAUUUCACUCUUUUACCACCAAGUUGUUUGUAAGCGACACCCAGUUUAAUUUCUGGAAGCUCGGACAGGACAUCAAGCUUGGUCAGAUUGAGAGCCGAAAACCCAUUAAUCUGGCAGCAAUAUUUAAGUGCAACUAUAUCAAGCCAGCCACAACGUCGAGGACGGCCUGUAGUUGUUCCAAACUCCAUUCCAGCAGUCCUAAGGAGAUCACCACCUUUACCUAAGAUUUCAGUUGGGAAAGGACCUGAGCCAACUCUAGUUGUGUAAGCUUUUACCUGCACAAAAGGGAGGAAGAGGAGAUUUAAUACGAAAAUGUUAUAACACUCAAGCAAAAGGAUUUGAAGAAAAAGGACUGAUUGUUCUCACCACUCCAAUAAGGUCACCAACACAUCUUGGAGCAAUCCCCAGGCCGGUGCAAAUCCCACCGGCUGAAGGAUUUGAGGAAGUUACGAAUGGGUAGGUUCCAAAAUCAAUGUCUAACAUAGUUGCCUGACCACCUUCAACCAAAAUUUUCUUGUUCUGCAAGAUGGAUUCAUUGAUGAAGUGCACGGUAUCGGCAAUAAAGGGUUCCAAUCGUUCAGCAAACCUCUUGUACCUCUCAACCUCCUCUCUGAGCAUGUCAGCAUUAUAAUUAAAUCCCUUAAACCGUGAAGCUGCAUCUCUUAGUAAAAUAUCAAGUUUCUGACGAAAAGUGUCCAUAUGCCUCAAAUCACCAACUCUUAAUCCAUUCCUUAUUGCCUUGCUAGAAUAGCAUGGUCCAAUUCCUCUCUUAGUUGUCCCAAUAAGGGAAUUUGCAAGCUCUGCUUCUCUAAGUCCAUCUACAGCUUGAUGGAAAUCAAACAACAAAUGUGCACGAUCGGAUACUAGUAAUCUUCCCUUGCAAGAAACUCCAUUGGACUCCAAACCAUCAAUUUCUUCAAAUAAUCCAGGAAGAUGCACUACAGGUCCAUUACCAAUAACACAGAGAGUUUCCUCAUUAAGGAUUCCUGAUGGAACAAGAUGGAGAGCAAACCUUUUUCCCUCAGCAUUAUAGAUGGUAUGUCCAGCAUUUGCUCCACCCUAAUACCAACAGAAUAAAGCUUUAAGAUAAGUAGCGAAAAAAAAAUCAUAGCUAUAAUUGAGGAUCUAUAAAUGAGAAAUUUUAUUGCCACAUUUCACGAACUUUUUGAAUUAAAUGAAUUAUGUAUCCAGCAAGGUUAGAUUUCUCAGGACUAUAAAUGUCUCUUACAGUGAAGCAGUUAACCUCAUUCAGCAGGGUUAAUAAACAUGUUGACUUCAUAUAAAAUUUUCUCACUCAAGAAAGCAGUCAACAUUACUCAACCUAUUACUUCCAAGUUCCAAUCAAUUAAGUCAAUUAUCUUAUACUUGAGUUGGUCAAUAUUUAGAUCCAAGUACUGUACAUUCUUUAGCAUGUAAAUUUUUUAUAUUAAAACAGCAGUUUGAUCCAUGAAUGCUUGGAUGAAUAAAAAAUAGGAACAAAGUGAAAAUUUUGCAGGACAAGGGUCUAGAAGAACUUGCAAAACUAAAACAAAGUACCUUGACUGCAAAGGAAAAUUGAGGUUCCAUUAAUAAUUGAUGGCUGAAAAAUACUCCAAUGUGAUCAUUUUGCUAAUUAGAUGUUCUUUAUAUAAAAGAAUAGAGAUACUGUAGGAAAGUUGUGUGAGAAUCACAUGCACAUGAAACUAACAAGAAAAUUUUAUGAGACAAUUAUAACGCCCACAAAGUUUUACAGAUUAAAAUAUGGCACGGCAGAGGAGUUUCAGGCAUGAGCAUUGUAGAGAUUAAAAUUUUGGGGUGAUAUGUACGUGGUAAAAAGCAGCUACUAAAUUUAGAAAAAGUGAAAGUUAAAUCAAUCAACAUUAAAUCAUAGAGAGAUAAUUUGGGCAUGAGUAGCUAGAAUCCGAUAUGGCACUAGUAUGGGAAGUGAUCAGAUUUGCAUUAAAGGAACAAGAAGAAGGAACAGGCAUGUGGUAACACGGGCAGAAGUUGUAAGGCGAGAUUUGGAGAAGAUGGUAAUGUUGAAAUGCAUAGCUCUUAAAAGGGUUGAAUCUUGAAGGAUUCAGGAAGCCUUUUUUCUAUUGCCUCCGAUUUGAUGGAUGAAUGUCAGCUCAUGAGUUUGUAUUACUAAUAGUAUGUAUAUAUCAAUGUGUUUGUUGACAAAAAAAUUGACAGCUAUACUAGAAUUGACAGUUUUGCACUUAGCUUAAAAGUUCAAUAAAAGUAAACAUAACAAAAUCCAUGACCGAACAAAUAUUUCUCUAAUUAACCAAACAGGGAGGUGGAUGUAUCUUAGCAGGAAAGCAACAGAUAUCAAGAAAGUAUAGUCAGAAAAAUGAAGCUGCACAAAGAUGUCAAAAGCAACUAUAGGGGCCAAAAAAACUUAGAAACAGCACAAAUGCAAAAGCAUGAUCCAUCUCCAGCACCAUCAUAUGAAGAAUGCAUCACCCACAAGUAGGGGUGCUAGUGGAUUUCCUGCUUCCAAUACUGAAAUGAUUCAAAAUUAAUCCAGUCCAACUUGAACUGAAGUUCUUUGGAUGCUGCUUGGGUUCACAAAAUGACCCACUAGAAUAUGGAUUGGAUUUGGACUACUAGAAUUCUAAUCUGAACCGAAACUAGUAAAAUAUAUACUUCAAAUCCCUCAUUGCACAAAAAAAAAUUUGUUCUCUUACUGUCGUAUUGUUAGUCAGUAAUAUGUGCUGUUACACAUAACCAUAAUUCAAAAACCCAAAAUCUCAACUCGACCCAAUAGUCAGCCAAGUUGAGUCAACUUGAAGACUCCAUCAAGUACCCAAUGAGUCUUAGUAAAAUAUAUACUUCAAAUCCCUUAUUGCACAAAAGAAAAUUUAUUCUCUUUCUGUCGUAUUGUUAGUCAGUAAUAUGUGCUGUUACAUAUAACCAUAAUUCAAAAACCCAAAAUCUCAACUCGACCCGAUAGUCAGCCAAGUUGAGUCAACUUGAAGACUCCAUCAAGUACCCAAUGAGUCUUAAACAUCAGGACAUGAUAAUAAGUUAAUAACUAAAAAAUAUAUUAUACUAUUAUAAAAUAUUUUAAUAGCAUAUACAAUGAUGUUCAUAUAUAGAUACAUAUAAAUUAAAGAACCAUAGAAGUAACCAUAUGCUUAUUAGCAUUUAAUCACCAUAUUUUAAUGCAUAAAAAUGAUUAAAAAAUCUAAAUAAUACACACAAAAAGAAUCAAUACAUCAUUUUAAGUUGGUUUUUUGCAUAAAGUUAUACUCUAAUUUUGCAUGAACUUAUACUCUAUUAAUAGAUACAAGAUACCAUAGCGAAUUUUUUUAGAAAUAAUAUGGUGGAUGGUUAUUGAGGUCCUAAUGAACUUGACCAAUUGCAUGCCACAUGCUAGUAUACUGCCAAUCAUUCAUGUUUGUGCUGCAGUUUAUAUUCCUUGAUCCUGUUUGCAUAGUCUUGAUCCAUACAAUUGGCAAUAUCUCUUGUGGUUAUUUUUCCAGUAAGAUUUUUCUAAACUAAUUUUGUAUUACUCGCUCUUUAUGUUUUCAAUUUAAACUCAACAGUUUUUUAAGUAAUUAAAUUAUUUGGAUAAAUAUAUAGUUUUGCAUCAGACUACCUUUUUCUAUCCCCAAAAUGAUCACAUGCACCUUGGUCACUUCAAGUAUUUGUUCUAACCUUCUCAAGUAACCAAUCUCCUAGCAGAAAUGCCAACACAAAUUCCUCUACAUAUGGAAAUGACUUCCAAUCCUCAAUCUUUUAGCGAUCAUCAAUGUCAACAUAACCCUCUUUAUAUUGUUGAUGUACACCAUGAAUUUUAGGGUUUCUUUUUCACUCUAAAACCUUCUUCAAACAAGAGCAAUUUUCCUAUUCUUCUAUCAACAGAGCCAUGCUCCAAUUUUCUACUCUAUAGAUAAGGGCUUUGUUACGCCUGAUUUUUUAUUACAAUACUUGGCACCUAGCUACUUGUCACAUCUGGAGACUUAGCAAGAGGGAAUCACUAGACCUUUCUAAUAUCUACUAGCUUAACAUGAGAGAACAUUCAUUACUUUUUAUUCUAGUGUUAUUGAAAAUAGGAUGAAGUUACAUACGUAUGUAUAUCAUGUUUGUUUCUUUACUAUUUUAUGUCUAUAAGCUGUUUGUCAUAUUUGUUAGACAUUAGCACCAACAUGUAGAAUAUAGUUGGAGACACAACUUGUUCAAAUUAUAUUUAUGUUUAACUAGUUAACUAGCGCAACACAUCUAGAAGAGUGGUGGAGAUGGAGCUGAAUAUAUCUGGGCUAUACAUGACUGUUAUUAUAUAAAGAUUAAUCUUCUCAUAUUUUUUUCAACAUCUGUAUUGUGCUCCUAUAGAUUUAUGAGACACCUAGGUAAAGAGAAGCAAAGGAUAAAUAUAAUCCCCAGAUCAACAAUCUAGAACCAUCUGACAAUCUUAUGGGACCAACCAAGGAGAUCGUGAUAUUAUUUAUUCAUGCUAUGCAAAUAGAGUCAUAUUCUAUGAGUCUAAGUAUUUUCCUGCUAUAGAAAAAAAUUUGAUCUAGUUUAAUCGUUAGUGCAGUCCUUUUACAGAGCUUGGUGAGUUCACCUACCCAUGUAGACACCGCACAAUGUAAUAGUAUAAUUAAUGAUGAAAAACAUAAACGACUGAUGACCAAAUAGCUUAUUGACAUCAUUAUUGCUUAGACAUCUAAUCAUGCCCAAAUUGUGUGAGAAAUCAUUUGGUCUUAUCCAAGGUCCGCCGUACCGGUAUAGGUCGGCGUAUCGGUACCGGCCCAGACCGGUACGAAAUCGGUGGCGUACCGGUCCGAACCGGUUUUGUACCGGUCCGAACCGGUCCCGUACCGGUUCUUCAACAAAAAACUACCGGUACCGGAUUCCACGCUGAUCCGGUACCGGUCCCAGGCCGGACCGGUACGUACCGGCCCGUACGGACCGGUACGGCAGACCAUGGUCUUAUCUAUUUGUGUCCUUCAAUGAAAACAUCAGCAGCAUAUCCUCUGGCAAAAGUUAGAUUAUUUCCUACUGUUCUACCUUAACGUGAAUAAAUACACCACUUCGUUGCAUGUCUUAAAUCAACCAUAUAUUCCUACAAGUCUAUAGAAUACCCAGUUUAAUCGAUAAUUUGCAAUCCACUUCAGUGUGCUCUACAUACUCUUAAAGAAUUUAACAUGGAUAAUCUCUAGUUUCUUAUAUAUCACUCUUACAACCAAUCUCCCAUUAAAUUCCAUAGACUGGGUAGGGGUGGGGGUCCAACAAGCACUUGCAGCAGAGGGGGGCCCACAAGCACCCGGCCCGCCCCUUCUUAUAUAGUAAAGCCGGCCUCUUUUUCGCCAGUGCUGACGCAGUGCGCGCGUAGAUAAGGAAAGCAAAAUCCCAGUGGGGGCCGGUGCCUUUUUACGGCCUAAACUCCUCUAUUUGUCAGCCGUGGGGAACUACUUCCGUUCGUAAAUGGGAAACAACUAGCAUACUUACACCUUAGACCAUGCAGCACAUUUAACUUUAUUUACAGUUCCAUGUAAUAAACAUUCGUCCAACAAAUAUCUGAUUACUCGACAGAAGUCUUCUAUUAAUCUUUGAGCUGGGCAGAUCUGGUUCACUAAAACAUGUCAGUUGAAGAUUUUUAUGUGCAGCAUAAAGUAUUAUUUCCUAAAACAACACCAAUAAAGCAUCACCAUUUUUAUAUGAUGUCUAAGUUAGAUUAUUUCUACUAAGUCCUUCAAUGAAACCAUCAGCAGCAUAUGCUCUGGCAAAAGUUAGAUUAUUUCCUACUGUUCUACCUUAAACUGAAUAAAUACAUCACUUCGUUGCAUGUCUUUAAUCAACCAUAUAUUCCUACAAGUCUAUGGAAUACCCAGUUUAAUCGAUAAUUCAUAAUCCGCUUCAGUGUGCUCUACAUACUCUUAGAAUAGAGCAUUUAACAUGGAUAAUCUCUAGCUUCUUAUAUAUCACUCUUACAACCAAUCUCCCAUUAAUUUCCUCAUGCAUUUAUGUUCGUAAAUGGGAAACAACUAGCAUACUUACACCUUAGACCAUGCAGCACAUUUGACUUUGUUUACAGUUCCAUGUAAUAAACAUUUGUCCAACAAAUAUUUGAUUACUUGACAGAAGUCUUCUAUUAAUCUUCAAGCUGGUCGGAUCUGGUUCACUAAAACAUGUCACUUGAAGAUGUUUAUGUGCAGCAUAAAGUAUUAUUUCCUAAAACGACACCAAUAAAGCAUCAUCAUUUUUAUAUGAUGUCAAUAAGUUUGAUUAUUUCUACUGAGUUCUUCAAUGAAAACAUCAGCAGCAUAUGCUCUGGCAAAAGUUAGAUUAUUUCCUACCGUUCUACCUUAACCUGAAUAAAUACAUCACUUCGUUGCAUGUCUUAAAUCAACCAUAUAUUCCUACAAGUGUAUAGAAUACCCAAUUUAAUCGAUAAUUUUCAAUCCGCUUCAGUGUGCUCUACAUACUCUUAGCAUUGAGCAUUUAACAUGGAUAAUCUCUAGCUUCUGAUAUAUCACUCUUACAACCAAUCUCACAUUAAAUUCCUCAUGCAUUUAUGUUCAUAAAUGGGUAACAACUAGCAUACUUACGCCUUAGACCAUGCAACACAUUUGACUUUUUUUACAGUUCCAUGUAAUAAACAUUCAUCCAACAAAUAUUUGAUUACUUGACAGAAAUCUUCUAUUAAUCUUCAAGCUGGUCAGAUCUGGUUCACUAAAACAUGUCAGUUGAAGAUGUUUAUGUGCAGCAUAAAGUAUUAUUUCCUAAAACGACAUCAAUAAAGCAUCAUCAUUUUAACUAUAUGUAAUAACGUAUCCUAAAAGAAUGCAUGAAUUAACUUGCUUUUCCGCAACAUAUAAUGAAUUUAAGUGUAUGACAGUUCAAAGAAUACAUUCUCCAAACAUAUUAUAUUAUUUGUGGUUUUCAGAAAUUUCAAAUAGUUUUCAUUACAUGAUUGAGAUUACGUGGAGAGAGACAAAGCUUUGCACCAGAUGCCCAUCAUAUUGAGAAAGAUGAGGAGCAUAUUUUCAUUUGACAACAAAAUACCUCUUUUAAAGCUUGCAUAUUGGUACAAAUGGGAAAUAGCAGUGCCUGCAAUAUGUACUAUCGAAUACUUAAACUUUGCUUGAAACUAUAUAUACCAUACCUAGCACUUUCCAGUAAAUACAAAGACCUCUGCAAAGAUUCCCAAUAUUGUUUGUUCCAUUCUUCAUAAAGGUCAUAUGGCAACUAUGAGAUUUUUUGUAACCAUAUUCCAGCAUGUUCCAAUUCCAGCAUGAAAGUGCCACACUGGUCCUGGUUGACUUCUUAAAGCUAUAAAUUAUUUAAUUUAGCUUCAAAUCUGUGAACUGAUCUAUAACUCAGUGGUUGCUCCUGUCCUCCAAGUGGUAGAGGUUCUGGGUUCGGACAUGGGAGGGGUGUUUCCCCAAAUUCAGGAGCCAGGAAAGUUUAUGACAUGGGUUGCCCUCCAUAUAAAACAAAUAAAAAAGAACUUUCAAUUCCAUUGUCCUCUCAGUUUUGGUAGCUAGUGAUCUCAAGUAUGGUUAGUGUUCCAAGGAAACUAUUGUUCAGGUGAAGAUUGUAAAAUAGCCUAAUUUUUAUUUGCAACUGCAGUCUUUUAGCUCAAUCUCAACAUAUCAAUUGCAUAAUGUGUAUCCAUCAGCUACUAGUUUAGCUUUAUAUCUUUCUGUGGAAUUUUUUGUUUAAAUAACUAGAGUAGAAAAGGAAACCUUAUCCCAAAAAGGAGGGGAAUCUAUAGUAAAAACUUGUUUAGACUCUUGAGUCUUGAUUUUUUAUUGACAAAUGUACCAUUUCUGAAGCAUCAUAUGUCUUAAAUCUUAUGCUUACUCUGCUACAAAAACAACAAAAAGGGCUUAUGCUUACUCUUCUUUAAGUUUCUUCUAUUUAGGAUGAGCAAGGUCAUAUGGAUUUUCUUUUGGAGAGACAAAUGUAUGAGAGAGAGAGAGAGAAUAAACAAAUUUACUAAUGAGAUGAGAGGCAUAAUUUCUCUUUCUAAGCAAACAUGAUUAGUUUCAUCUGAAUUAUAAGAAUUUGCUUGAUUGGGUGAUCAUGGUGAUCCAAAAGGUUUUUCCCUCAAAUGUUACAUAUAUACCUUUUCUUAUCCUUGCAUAGGUUUGUAUCUCUUUGAAUAGAAAUAUUUGGUGAAUGAGGAUCCAUAAAGUUGACCUCAAAUAGUUGGAAUAAAGCUUUUGUAUUUCUUUCUUCUUUGCACUAGAAUAUGCUAUGCUAUUCAUUUUUCCUGAUGCUCUAUACCAAUAUAAAGACAUGUUUUAAAUAGAUAAACAUACUGACUUUUAUACAUAAUAUUAAACCAAUAUGUAGAACUUUAAGAUUAAAAUUCUUUCUAGAGAUAUGCUAUUGUCACUCAUCAUUACAUGCAUUGCAUUAUUUUAAAAGAUUUGUCAUAGAAACUACCAUUACACAAUUAUCCGUACAUGUUCACAGCACAAUAAGGCCAAAAUUCAUACUGAAAGCUAAAGGAGCCAUGUAGCUAUUUAUGAACUAACAACAAAUUAGUGUGCUUUACAUUCUGCUGAUACUGAGCUAAGGUCGCACACUAUAAGUUACAUUGAUUUAUUAACUUCUGGUCCAGCACAGAACAAUGAUUUUUAGUUAUUACCGCACCUGACAUGUAGAUUUGGCCUUCAAAUAAUUGAACAAAGAGAAAAGAAAAUCAUCAUGAAAGAGUUCUAGAUUGUAUAGAAUAAGGUUGCUCAGGACAGUUGAGCAGAGUCUCAGAACCAGAAAGCAGAACGCAAGCUCAUAUUAGCAUGAAUUGGCAUGCGCCUGUGUACUAACUCCAUAUAUGUUGAACCGGGCAAAUGUGCAAUGAUGCAGGCCAUCUUAAAUGUUGAAUAGAUACAUGGGUACGUAGGGUAUGUUUGGUUGCAAGGAGAUACAUGGAAAAGGAACAGAAAGCUUAGGAAUUUUCCACGGAAAAGGAAAAAGUUUUUGAAAAGCUAGUUAUGAAACUGGCUUAAUUUUCUAAUGAAACGAACAAACAGAAAAUUAAGAUUUUAUGAUAAAAUUAAAUUUUCUAAGCAAGUUCCUUGCAACAAAACAUGCCCUUAGCGACUCAUAGAUAGUGGCCAUAUAUCAGUUAUUGCAUAUUUAGCUUUCCAUGCAAAUCCCAAAAUAUGUCUUGUAUAUGACAUGAUCGGCGAUGCAUGCAGUAGAGGCUGGUAACAGCUAGGAUGCAGCUUGUUCAAAUCCACUUUGAACUACACUAACAAAAACCAUACUGACCCCUAAACACCAUAACCCUAUCAAUCGAAAUCCAUCUAAAUACCAAAAUAGAUUUUUUUAAUAUAAAUUACAAAGAGAAAGCAAGAAAGAAAAAGAAUGAAGGAGAAAAUAUUACCUGACAUCGAGCGACGAUAUCAAAGUGCUUGGCGAGAACAUCGACGAGCUUCCCUUUGCCCUCAUCCCCCCACUGGGAGCCCAGCACGCCGGCGACCUGGCUCAGCGAUCCCACCGGGCCGAUCUCGCCGCCCUUCUCCACCUCCGCCGUCGCCGGCGCCGCCGAGGCAGUCACCUUGAGGGAGGACGAGGGAUCGGAGGCGGCGGCGGCCCUCCCCGACCGCUGCGGAUCCCUCCACGGGCCGACAGAACAAGGGAUCCGUAUCCUGCUCGGCGACCCUGCGGAACUCCAGUUCCCGCCGCCGGCGGAAGUCCAUCGCCGGCGGGGGUAGAUGGAUGCGUGCUCGAGGGUGAGAGAAGAGACGCCCAUGGGUUUCUCAGCGAGAGGCGAGAGCGAGCGAGAGAUUUGCGAACCUUUUCGGCUUCUAUACAAAGAUGGAUUCGGAAAACCGGAGAUGAUUCAAUGAAUCCGACCCGCCGGAAAGGCCUGGUCCUUAUUGCGAUGUAAAAGCAAUCCGAAUUAGGCCCGGGAACAAUUAGUGCGCUGGGAUUUCAUGCCUAAGUGCAAAGUAGCUUUAAGUUGAUGCCGAUAUUGUCGGAAAAUGAUAUGCAGUCAAAAGGUUUAUUAGAAGGUGGGGAUCAGGUUCUUCCAUUGAGUCAAUUUCAAUCUACAAGGGACCUUUGAGUGGCUUAUGAGAGCUCAAUCAAAAUCAGAGUUAAUAACAGUUUUGGAAAAGGUCCACUAUAAUCAAAAACAUUGUUAACAAAAUUUUGAGGGGAAGGAAAAAUUGUUGAUCCUAGAGAUUAAACACUCAUUUUAAAUUAUUUCAGCUAUGUUGGGUUGAUCCUGAUCGGAUGUGUAUUACACAAUAUAAGAAGCCAUGUAUACCUAACUUUCGAAAGCUAUAAUCUUUCUGUGUGGCAUCUGACGAAAAUAAUUUUAUUUUCAAAUUGGAUAACUUAUGAGAUCCAUAAAAUUGCUUUCACCCCUCAAAAGGAUUGACUCAAGUGGCAAUCAAGGCCAUCAACAACAUUUAGUCCUCCAAAAGAGUUAGUUAAAAUAAAAGUUGUCUAUUUAGAAAAUAUUUUGAUCAGACAUAUUUCUCAAUUCAAAAAGAAUUAGGCAAAAUAGUUUUAAAAAAAUUGAGAUAGAGGUCUAGAUUUAGCUCUAGGAGGAUUUUAUUUUUUUUUGAAUGAUUUUUCUACUGAUCAUGCCUAUUUGGUGGAAACUAACAUAAUUCUUCCAACUAAAAGAGAAAUUUGACCUAAUUUUGUAACAGCCUAGAACCCUAUUUUCAAAAUUCUUUUAUUCUCCAUUAUUGCUUUCGAGAGGUCCGAGCUUAGCAAAGAAAAUCUUUCCUUGUUUAUCAACUCAACUGUAUUUUUGCAAAAUUCAGCUAGUUUGGAAAUAGACAUGACAAAAUAUUCUAGUGUAGUUGGGCAUGUUAAAAAAUAAUUUGUGAUAGUGUGUUUUCUCUUAAAAUAAUAGGAUAGAAAAAGAUAUAUAUAUGCAUAUUUAAAUAUAUGAUUUUAAUAAAUACUGAAACUUAUUCAUUUCUUAUGAAAUAAGAUAUAGGAUAAACAAUGUGAAAAAGUCAGGAAAGUUAUGAUUUUUCUGGAAAGUAAUAUAACCAAAGAUAAAACUUUGAAUGAAAGAGAGCGACCAUAGGAGGCUUGAUCCUUCUAUGCAAGAAGUUUCGGUUAUAUAUAGCAGAAGUAAAUUAUCUAAGCAUACAUACAUAUUUAGUCCUAUAAUAAUCACCCACUAACCUCCUCAAACACAA
rnacentral:lncRNA from 1 species